CACGUAGGGGGCGAGCGUUGUCCGGAAUCAUUGGGCGUAAAGAGCUCGUAGGCGGCUCAGUAAGUCGGGUGUGAAACCCCCAGGCUCAACCUGGGGACGCCACCCGAUACUGCUGUGGCUAGAGUCCAGUAGGGGAGUGUGGAAUUCCCGGUGUAGUGGUGAAAUGCGUAGAUAUCCGGAGGAACACCAGUGGCGAAAGCGGCCACCUGGACUGCACCUGACGCUGACACGCGAAAGCUAGGGGAGCGAACGGG
rnacentral:rRNA from 1 species